rnacentral:misc_RNA from 1 species
UUUAAAUCGAGAACUGGACGA